rnacentral:rRNA from 1 species
UAGAGUUUUGAUCCUGGCUCAGAUUGAACGCUGGCGGCAGGCCUAACACAUGCAAGUCGAACGGUAGCACAGAGAGCUUGCUCUCGGGUGACGAGUGGCGGACGGGUGAGUAAUGUCUGGGAAACUGCCUGAUGGAGGGGGAUAACUACUGGAAACGGUAGCUAAUACCGCAUAACGUCGCAAGACCAAAGAGGGGGACCUUCGGGCCUCUUGCCAUCAGAUGUGCCCAGAUGGGAUUAGCUAGUAGGUGGGGUAACGGCUCACCUAGGCGACGAUCCCUAGCUGGUCUGAGAGGAUGACCAGCCACACUGGAACUGAGACACGGUCCAGACUCCUACGGGAGGCAGCAGUGGGGAAUAUUGCACAAUGGGCGCAAGCCUGAUGCAGCCAUGCCGCGUGUAUGAAGAAGGCCUUCGGGUUGUAAAGUACUUUCAGCGGGGAGGAAGGCGAUAAGGUUAAUAACCUUGUCGAUUGACGUUACCCGCAGAAGAAGCACCGGCUAACUCCGUGCCAGCAGCCGCGGUAAUACGGAGGGUGCAAGCGUUAAUCGGAAUUACUGGGCGUAAAGCGCACGCAGGCGGUCUGUCAAGUCGGAUGUGAAAUCCCCGGGCUCAACCUGGGAACUGCAUUCGAAACUGGCAGGCUAGAGUCUUGUAGAGGGGGGUAGAAUUCCAGGUGUAGCGGUGAAAUGCGUAGAGAUCGGAGGAAUACCGGUGGCGAAGGCGGCCCCCGGACAAAGACGACGUCAGGUGCGAAAGCGGGAGCACCU